GCAAGGCUUUAAACCCUGCAAAAAGUGCAAUAGGCCUAUGCCAUGCAGUGAUCAGUCGUGCUUAAAGUGUCUGGGAGAAGCACACCUUACAGAAGCCUGUAAACUCUGUAAGGCCUUCAAGUCAAGACAAAAUGUGAGAGGGAGUCGCACCUUAAGAUCCUCCUCGUGGAAGUGGCUCUCCGACCUGCACCGGACUCGGCACUGGCCUCCCGGAGCACACCAGCCUUGGUGCGUGACGGUUCCAUGCACCGUGCCUCUCCGGCAUUGCAGGAGCCCCGGCACCGCUCUCAAUUGCUGGCACCUCAGAAGAAGAGGCAGCCUAACAGAUAGAUGCCCAAGAGGAAUAUGUCCAAAAGAUUUGGGGAAAAAAUAAGAAAGGCAGUACCAGUGAAUUUGGACUUCCCCAUAACAUAAUUGCUAAGCAACUUAUCUCUCUGAACAACAAUUGCCCUAGUUUGAAGAACAUUUACUUGCUGGAGUUUCACCCUUCCCUUGGCCUGGCAUCUUUAAUCUCAAAAGCUCUGGAGUACGUCUUCCAGGAGUUCUAUAGCUUCUGUAGACCAAAAACACCCAGUGAAGCAACUAGUAUAGAAAAACAAGUACUUCAGCUAGCAGUGGAUGAAUGGCUGACCAUGGAAAAGCCUGACUCUUCAUACAGCUCUCAAAUUCAAAAAGAUUUAUUUGCAAACACGCUGAUGGAAGACCCACUCCUUAUACGGGAUAUUGCUAUGUUAGCACUAGAGUCAGGAAAAAAUGAAGAAAAGAAGCAAGGCAGAGAAAAACAAGCCUUUAUUCUGGAGACCUUCUCGAGGCUCCUGGAACUCAUCACGCUCUGCCAUCGACUGAUCGAGACAGCCAUGGAGAGUGCACAGUUGGCUAGGUUAGCAUAGAUCACAUAUGAUAGCACCUCUUGUUCUCCAACUGGUAUAUGGAAGAGUUGCAUAUGCUGCAUUUACAAAUGUUCAUGUUUUUAAUAAACUGAGGUAUAACUUAAAGCUGAUAAAAAACACAUGAA